CGUCGCGUAGGAAGUAGCGUACCGGGAUCAGCGUUGCGGCAGGUCCUCGAUUUUGAAUUCACUCGAGUUCCGGCGAUUGCGUAGUAGAGACGUUAUCUGGUAGGAUUUUGAUAUCGAGGAGUUUGCUAUUGUGUUUGGAGAAAUUUGGAGCCUUCGAAAAAUCACAAGGGGGUUGGUGCUUUUGUAUGCUGGAUCUGGAACGCAUGAAAUUCCCUUUCACUGAUUGGCUGGCUAUCGAUGUGAGAUGAGAAUCGAGACCCCAGCUGACUUUACAACAAUGAAGCCCGGCCGUAGCAAGUGAUCAGCAGUUUGUAAGGAGUGGCUCGCAAAACUAGCAAACCAAGGAAUUUUCAACGAGUGAUAAAAUUUGAAGAAUUAAGCCAGAUAAACACAGAGACUCUGCCGGAUUCGACGGCGGUUUCAUCGAAUCGUGAGUUUCGCAAAAAGCUGGCGUGGAAUCUGCGUGUGGAAUACCUCCGUCCACUCGGGGCAAGGCAAGCGUCAUCGAGUACUUCGAAUUCGCGGCUCCGAACCACCGCGAGUAGGUCGAGCAUAGCCACAGCGUCCUCGAGGGCUACGUCACCUACAUAACCGACGGCGCAACGCACGAAGCAUGCCGCCAUCCCCUCCCGAAUUCAUUUAGAACGGUGGUCACAUGGGAUCGCGGAUCCGUCGUCGUACCGGUCCGAUUCACAGGUCGCCGAAGGCGAAUGACUGAACAGAUCUCCGCUGUGAUGAGCCCUGCGAUGAUGGGUACUCAGUUUAGCGGCUAGUCCAAUGGGUUCAACAUGCCGAUAACGACGAACACAGCACUCGACGCUCUCACCAAUUGGGCCCGAUACGCCAACGAUGGACGCAUCGGCGCAUUCCCGGCAAACCCUCGAUGCCCUUUAGUUCGCCGAUCCAGAACGGUCUCCGACUUGGUCGGUAAUUCUGGGUCCACCGGAUCGGCAAUGCAGAGUUCUCAAAAUUCGUCCCGCUUUGUCAAAUAGGAAUUGUCGUGCGAUUGCGCUUCGUCAGUCCAAUGAUGUCGAGUGUCGGGAUGCCUCAGUUUCCCGGCUCAGGAACUUUUUUUGCUAUGACCCUUCGCGCCUAGUGCGCCCCCAUGAUGUAAAGUGGAGCGCACGAGGAUUUCGUCUGUAUAUCCAAUGUAUAAGUCAAAUCUAUAACUAUAAAAAACUGUAUAAAGAAA